rnacentral:rRNA from 1 species
CUUAUGAGAACACCUGAGUACCGCGAGACACGUGAAACCUCGCGGGAACCUGGGAGGACCAUCUCCCAAGGCUAAAUACUAUCCGACGACCGAUAGCGCACCAGUACCGUGAGGGAAAGGUGAAAAGAACCCCUGCUAGGGGAGUGAAAUAGAACCUGAAACCGUGUGCCUACAAGCAGUGGGAGCUCCAAAAGAGUGACCGCGUGCCUUUUGCAUAAUGAGUCAGCGACUUACUCACUGCAGCAAGGUUAAGCAGUUAUGCGUAGCCACAGUGAAAGCAAGCCUGAAUAGGGCAUGAGUUGCAGAGAGUAGACCCGAAGCCAGGUGAUCUACCCAUGGUCAGGAUGAAGCGAGGGUAAAACCUCGUGAAGGUCCGAACUCACUAACGUUGAAAAGUUAGGGGAUGAACUGUGGGUCGG